AAAAUAUAUACUUUCUAAGUCUUGAUUUAGAAAACUUAAUUAUACCGAGUUCGUAAUUUUUCAAGCGUUGUAACAUUAAGUAAUUUAACAGAUGUUGGAAUGUUGCCGAUAUGAGCCGAGUCUCUGUUGGUACUCACAGAUCUAUUUAUAUCGACCUACGUUUAAUACGUCAUGAAGAGGUUAGAUGAGAUAAUUUCGCUUUUGUGACUUUAUUCACAUUUCAGUUGAUCAAAGUGACAUUUGCAGAAUACGGAGUCAGGGAAAGAAUGCCGCGCAAUUGAUAACGACCCGUGUUACUGUCCAGAAGCUGUCCAGAAGCACUGGCCCGCUCUCGCUGUCACCGUGGCAAGGACUGACUUCUAGCGAACCGGCGCAAAAAGUGCGCGGCGAGGUGAUAUCGUCGAACGAACGAUUGCUUCGAAGACAGGUCUCCUGUAAUUUACGCAACAAUGAUUAAUCGGAUCAUCUACACAAUUUUAUACAAUAGUGUGGAAUACAUAACGUUUUUUAUAUGUCGUUGGAAUCUUGCUAUUGUGCAGAAUUGCGUUGUUCAAGGCUGAUCACCAACAUUCAAGUACGCAUCUUUAUCGUGUGAUCAAAAACAAUUGGAACGUUGGUCAGUUUAACUCGGGGCCUACAAUGACUUUGACAAGCCCAGUUUGACAUAAAAAUAGACAAUGAUAAUAAUUUUGUAAUAGUAACUAAAUGUGACUGUACAAACGUAACGAAAUUAAAUGGAGUAUCACGCG